rnacentral:rRNA from 1 species
AGCCUGAUCCAGCAAUGCCGCGUGAGUGAAGAAGGCCUUCGGGUUGUAAAGCUCUUUUGUCAGGGAAGAAACGGUGAGCUCUAAUACAGUUUGCUAAUGACGGUACCUGAAGAAUAAGCACCGGCUAACUACGUGCCAGCAGCCGCGGUAAUACGUAGGGUGCAAGCGUUAAUCGGAAUUACUGGGCGUAAAGCGUGCGCAGGCGGUUUUGUAAGUCUGUCGUGAAAUCCCCGGGCUCAACCUGGGAAUGGCGAUGGAGACUGCAAGGCUAGAGUUUGGCAGAGGGGGGUAGAAUUCCACGUGUAGCAGUGAAAUGCGUAGAUAUGUGGAGGAACACCGAUGGCGAAGGCAGCCCCCUGGGUCAAAACUGACGCUCAUGCACGAAAGCGUGGGGAGCAAACAGGAUUAGAUACCCUGGUAGUCCACGCCCUAAACGAUGUCUACUAGUUGUCGGGUCUUAAUUGACUUGGUAACGCAGCUAACGCGUGAAGUAGACCGCCUGGGGAGUACGGUCGCAAGAUUAAAACUCAAAGGAAUUGACGGGGACCCGCACAAGCGGUGGAUGAUGUGGAUUAAUUCGAUGCAACGCGAAAAACCUUACCUACCCUUGACAUGGCUGGAAUCCCUGAG